AAAGAGCUCGUAGGCGGUUUGUCGCGUCUGCUGUGAAAAUCCGAGGCUCAACCUCGGACCUGCAGUGGGUACGGGCAAACUAGAGUGCGGUAGGGGAGAUGGGAAUUCCUGGUGUAGCGGUGGAAUGCGCAGAUAUCAGGAGGAACACCGAUGGCGAAGGCACAUCUCUGGGCCGUAACUGACGCUGAGGAGCGAAAGCGUGGGGAGCGAACAGGAUUAGAUACCCUUGU
rnacentral:rRNA from 1 species